rnacentral:other from 1 species
GAACUCCUUACAUCAAUCUUAAACUUUUUUCUCCAAAAAAAAAUCAAAUCUUGAGUUCUG